UCUGCAUACACAACCUCCAAAAGUUUACAAGUAAAAAAGACAGACAGACGGAAACAAAAAAGUAGGCUAUCUCCAUACAACAACAAAAAACUACUCUACGCGUUAACCCUGAAACUGACAUACCGGAUAGAGAUGUCAGACGCAGGACCUCUUGGGGGAACUAUAACCACAAUACUGAAGAGGGAAAUAGGGAUGGACUGUGACGGAGAAGAGCGCAUAGUUUGGCCAAAAGGGAUUUCCUACGAAGAUAAAAGCUCUGCGGAAGAAUAAUCUGAACGCAUGUGUCCUUGGAUAAACUCCAGGAGGCCCAAGAACUGGAACAAUAAAAAGGAUCUGCUGCAAUCCUCUGUCAAAAUAACAACAAAUCUGUGGACAUUCGUCCCGCACAAUAUUGUGAAGGAAAUGGCAGAGGAAAUAGAAGUACAUUUUCUUAAAUUAUACUGUUCCGAAUUUAUUGAGGCCAAAUAGAUAGUCGUUAAGGGACAAGUUUGUCAUGGCAAACUUUGUGUGUGGUUAGCACAAGACAAAUGUUUUUGGAUGACUAGUUAACAGGACAUCUGCGCGCUCAACCCGAAUUUACGCAAAUAUCUUUCUCUGACAAUCCACGAUUUACGGGAAAAUGUGAGUUGAGCGCCUAUCUCAGGUCAGGGUUAGGGUCAUAUGCUGCAGCUAUUUGACCCAUUUCUUGGCAAACGACAAAACUCCAUAUCUUGUAGGUAAUGGACUGCAGCCCACUCGUUUUACAUGGGAGGUAUUUAAAGGGGUAAUAAAUUGUGGUCUUUCCUUCUUGGUAAUAAUUACAGGCAAGGUAAAUCCCAAACAAAGCCAAGCGGCACCUGGCUCUCAUUGUAGUAAAAAUGAACUGGGAAAGCAGCAACAACAGAAGCUAUAAUAAUAAUAAUAAUAAUAAUAAUAAUAAUACUUAUUAUUAUUAUUUAAUAGGAAUAAGUCUGCAGCCCUUAAUGCUGGCGAGGAAUGGCAAUUUAGUAUGGUAAAGCCAUUGGGUUGAUCUUUGCUGCAUUGUAGUCACAAGGUUUUUGCCAUGUGUCAUAUUUUGUUAUUUUAUUAGGAUCCCCAUUAGCUGUUGCAAAUGCGUAGGUCCCUAAGGUGAAUCUUUACAAUAGGCCCUACUAUUCCCAGGGCCGGUUCCAGGUAUAAGCGACAUAAGUGGUCGCUUAAGGCCCCGGUCGCUAGGGGGCCCCGACCCCACAACCAAAUCUUGCUUAGGGCCCCCAAACGUCUAGAGCCGGCCCAAACUAUUCCACACAGGGUAUAUAGGGAGCAGUGCAAACAACACUUCAUGCAGCUUACUGUGGGCUAUGCAAACAACAUGAUGUUAUUCUUUUGUCCAAUAUUGUGUCAUAGUCAACAUCUAAUUAGAUAUAACCAACGUGACUGGACACACACUAUUGACAAUAGGCCUUAGGCCUACGCCACAUGUACUCACAGUAUGGAUCACACAGUAUAUUGGCAGUGACAGGAUUGUGAGCUGCUGUGAUUGAACACUAGAUGGCAGUGUUGAAUGUAAUGCCUAUUAGGUGUGGGAAAAGAGGUUUGGCCCUGAAUUGGUAGGGUAUUGCCACAUUCCACUGCUUAUUUGCUGUGCAUGACAAAAACUAUAACACGUUUGAUUUUGUAUUGCUGUGAUGAGUUAUUGACUGAGGCUAUCCAAUGUGUAACUAAAUAAAAUGUUUGGCUUUGGUGAUCCAUGAUGA